CCUACGGGAGGCAGCAGUGAGGAAUAUUGGUCAAUGGACGCAAGCCUGAACCAGCCAUGCCGCGUGCAGGAUGACGGCCCUAUGGGUUGUAAACUGCUUUUGUACGGGGGUAAACUGAGAUACGUGUGUCUUUUUGUAAGUACCGUAUGAAUAAGGAUCGGCUAACUCCGUGCCAGCAGCCGCGGUAAUACGGAGGAUCCGAGCGUUAUCCGGAUUUAUUGGGUUUAAAGGGUGCGUAGGCGGUCGGAUAAGUUAGAGGUGAAAUUCCGAGGCUCAACUGUGGAAUUGCCUCUGAUACUGGUAGGCUUGAGAGUAGUUGAGGUAGGCGGAAUGUGUGGUGUAGCGGUGAAAUGCUUAGAGAUCACGAAGAACACCGAUUGCGAAGGCAGCUUACGAAGCUGCGACUGACGUUGAGGCACGAAAGCGUGGGGAGCAAACAGGAUUAGAUACCCGAGUAGUC
rnacentral:rRNA from 1 species